GAAGCAAACGAGUUGAAGGGCCUCACCGCAGUUGGUGUCGGAAGGGGACACGCGCCGGCUGGCGUAUUUCCCGGCCGCCGUUCACCCCCGGCACAGAGCAGCAACUUGAACAUCCGAAGAUGGAAAAAGUAGCUGCAAGCAACGCAAUAACAAUUUGCCAAUGAUUGCACUUUUUUCGGCAAUGGACGUAACGCAAGGUGGAGUGGUAAUGUCCUGCACUCUGAACCUACUUCGCAGUCAUCCAAGCAACCCACGCAGUCCCUCCCAAACCAACGCCGGUGCCCUCCCGAUGCCCCUCUGGUGCUUCGACGAGUGGCUAUGCCGGCAGGGCGUGGGCACAACAAUUCAACUGCACGUGUUGUCCCGGCUUCACCACGCACCACGGUCCCCCCUACGCACUCUGCGUGCUCUGUUGGCGGGGUAGCUGCUCCACAUCCAUGGGCUGUGGUGGCGUGACCCAGCCGUCGCUUGCCACGGGAGGUUCACGGUUCGAUUUCAGGCGGCCGCCAUGACUAAUCAUGCGAGUGCAUUAAACCGCGAAAAAAAAGACGCGCCUUUCUGCUUCAGGGGUGGACGUUAAAGAUCCCGCGACGUCAUUCGCACGAGUAGGCCACUGUGUGUGCCGGCGUCACGGUCCAAAUUUGUUUAAUUGGAGAAAAAAAAUACCGGCAAAUUACUCAAUUGGCCCGAUUGGGAUUAUAUGUAGCAAUCAUCAACCCCUGAUGGGAAAAUUUGACAGGACCCUCCUAAAAAAGAGUCACGGGGAUAAAGUAAGGCUUUCUGGGGUGAACACGAAUAAUAUAAUCAAUGUAAACUCGUCCACGGAAUGAAACAGCUGGGGUGGCUGUGCGUGUGUGAGUUGUGAGCAGGGAUGGAGGGGACCAGAAGGAGGAGACCAGGUGGAUGGGAUAGGGUGGAGCAGACUGGGUGGAUGGAACAGAGUGGAGCGGACUUGGUUAAGUGGACUACGUGGAGCGAACUGGGUUGAAUGGACUCAGUUGAGCGGACAGGUUGGAGCGAACUGGGUGGAGUUGAUGGGGUGGAGCGGACUGGGUGGAACGGGCAGAGUGGAGCGAACUGGGUGGAGUUGAUGGGGUGGAGCGGACGAGGUGGAGCGGACAGGGUGGAAACGGACUGGGUGGAGCAGACGGGGUGGAGCGAACUGUGUGGAGCGGCCUGGGUGGAGGGGACUGGGUGGUGGUGACGUUCUGAAGCAGCGAGGUGCAAACAUCAUCCAUGCUGCGCCGCGUGAGAUAGCGGCAGGCCCCGGCUGUUACGAUGAACCGAUGCUGUUCCAUCGUUGAUCCCUGUCAAGCACGAAUGAUAUCCUUUCUGUGCACAUUUUGUCAUCAGUUUCAACCCUUCCAUCAACCAUUGACCCUUCCAGUGAUGUAUCUGCCCAAGCCCACUUCACUUUUUUAGAUCUUACAUGUGGCACCACUGAUUUGCAUCUGUUUCUUUAGCUAGUGUGACUCCAAGCAUGCAUCUUUAUCCACGUUUGUAUGCAAACUUCUCAACGUUUGGUCCAUUACAUUAAUCAGUUGUCCCUGUUACUGUCCCAUUGAUAAUAAUUGGUAAUAUUCACAGAUUGAAAACGUUUCUCUGCAAGCAUAAUGGAAUGUUGGUUUUCAUUGCCAAAUUUACUUGUCAAUAAACAUUCGAUACUCUUCGUGUCAGCUCUGCGUGAAAUCUGGCAGUCACCUGAUGCGACUCGUGGUCAUUUCCGGCGUAACGUCGUACUCGAAUUAUACAGUGAGGGAAAAAAAGUAUUUGAUCCCCUGCUGAUU